UCUUGUAUAUAUUAAAUGUUGAUGAUUAAACACACUGAGUACUAAUCUGUACUGCCCCUUUAAGAGAAUUAGCUUAGUACGUUGGAAACCCGGUUUAGUCUUCAGUCUGCGGUUGCUGAGCUGAAGACAGUAGGCUAGUAUCCAGCGAAUAAGAAGACUGCAUGUUAACUGUCUCGUGUGUAUUGAUCUGUACAGGAAUAAAUACGCAAACCAUCAGUUCGUGGCCGUUUC